rnacentral:rRNA from 1 species
UACGUAGGGUGCAAGCGUUGUCCGGAAUUAUUGGGCGUAAAGAGCUCGUAGGCGGUUUGUCGCGUCUGCUGUGAAAACGCGGGGCUCAACUCCGCGCCUGCAGUGGGUACGGGCAGGCUAGAGUUCGGUAGGGGAGACUGGAAUUCCUGGUGUAGCGGUGAAAUGCGCAGAUAUCAGGAGGAACACCCGUGGCGAAGGCGGCUCUCUGGAACGCAACUGACGCUGAGACGCGAAAGCGUGGGGAGCAAACAGG